rnacentral:sRNA from 1 species
CGCGGCUCAUCGGAUACGAGCUAUGUAAAAAAGUUUUAGAUUAAAGUUUCUGUCAGUCAUCUUUCGAUACCUUUCGUUUAGCUCCUGCGAAUACUUCUCUAGAAAUUGAUACAAUAGUUUUCCCAUUAGCUUUAACGUUUAAUUAAAAAUUGUAUAGAGGUAUCUAUGUCUAACAAAAUGACUGGUUCAGUAAAAUGGUUCAACGAAACUAAAGGUUUUGGUUUCAUUUCUCAAGACAACGGCGGCGCUGACGUAUUCGUACACUUCCGUUCAAUCGUUUCUGAAGGCUUCAAAACUCUUACUGAAGGCCAAAAAGUAAGCUUCGAAAUCGAACAAGGUCAAAAAGGCCCACAAGCUGCUAACGUUGUAGCUCUUUAAUUUUUAUCAUUGGCCAUCACUCUGAUGGCGUGUGAUAGUCAAAAGCGACCUCUUAGGUCGCUUUUUGU